rnacentral:rRNA from 1 species
CCAGUUAUUGGAGUCAUUGCAAUUGUGUGCAUCUUUGUUGGCAUCCGUCGAUGGCAGCUAUUCACGAGAAAGAGGCGUUACAGAGCUCUUGCCAGGGGCCUUGGGCCUAUUGGUUAUCGUAGGUUGGCACGUGCAACCAACGAAUUCGCAGAGGAAAACAAGCUUGGGCAAGGAGAUUCUGCCUCUGUUUACGAGGGCCAACUGGCAAGUCCAAGUAGACCGGUGGCGAUAAAGAUAUUCAAGCAAACAUCAUCACGCGAGGGGAGGAAGGCGUUCGAGGACGAGCUCAAGAUUGCGAGUCGGCUCAGGCACCGGAACCUUGUCGAAUUGAUAGGCUGGUGCUGCGAUGGCCAGAGGAGCCUGGUUGAGUUUAUAUGUUGGUGGCGGGAUGACAGGUACACACGUCUCUUCCUUGUGUAUGAGCUUGUGCCACAAGGUAGCCUCGAUCAACACCUACACGAGGGCAAGAGUUGGUUACCAUGGCCCAAGAGGUACGAGAUCAUCCUCGACCUAGGCUCUGCACUGCAAUACCUCCAUGUAGAUUGCGAGCAACACCAACAGUGUAUUGUACACGGUGAUAUCAAGUCCAGCAACGUGUUGCUUGGGUCUUCAAAUGGUGCCAAGUUAGGUGACUUUGGAUUGACAAGAUUUGUUCACCAAGAAACUGGGUCAAAGACCACAGACCUUUUGCAGGGCACUUGGGGAUAUAUAGACCCUGUGUUCCUCAACACGAGCCAGCGGAACAGGCAGUCAGACAUCUACAGUUUUGGCAUUGUCCUACUAGAGAUGGUCUCUGGAAGGGACCCAACGGCGAGUCUCGAUGGUAUGCCUCCGUUAUCGUCAUGGGUAAGGAGUUUGUACCAAGACGAUGCAAUCCUCGAGGCUGCAAAUGACAGGUUGAUAGGCGGCGAGUCCAGUACUGGACAACAACAAAUGGAGCGUGUGCUACUUGUCGGGCUCUUGUGUGUGCAUCAGGACCCGAUGAGCCGGCCGUCCAUCACGCAGGCCAUGGAUUCCCUGCGACCAGAGGAGCUAAAACUGGACAUCACUCCCCUGGCACCGGUGACACUCCCCCCACCAUAA